GGGUUGUGAGGUUAAGCGACUAAGCGUACACGGUGGAUGCCCUGGCAGUCAGAGGCGAUGAAGGACGUGCUAAUCUGCGAUAAGCGUCGGUAAGGUGAUAUGAACCGUUAUAACCGGCGAUUUCCGAAUGGGGAAACCCAGUGUGAUUCGUCACACUAUCAUUAACUGAAUCCAUAGGUUAAUGAGGCGAACCGGGGGAACUGAAACAUCUAAGUACCCCGAGGAAAAGAAAUCAACCGAGAUUCCCCCAGUAGCGGCGAGCGAACGGGGAGGAGCCCAGAGCCUGAAUCAGUGUGUGUGUUAGUGGAAGCGUCUGGAAAGGCGCGCGAUACAGGGUGACAGCCCCGUACACAAAAAUGCACAUACUGUGAGCUCGAUGAGUAGGGCGGGACACGUGGUAUCCUGUCUGAAUAUGGGGGGACCAUCCUCCAAGGCUAAAUACUCCUGACUGACCGAUAGUGAACCAGUACCGUGAGGGAAAGGCGAAAAGAACCCCGGCGAGGGGAGUGAAAAAGAACCUGAAACCGUGUACGUACAAGCAGUGGGAGCACAGAGCAAUCUGUGUGACUGCGUACCUUUUGUAUAAUGGGUCAGCGACUUAUAUUCUGUAGCAAGGUUAACCGAAUAGGGGAGCCGAAGGGAAACCGAGUCUUAACUGGGCGUUAAGUUGCAGGGUAUAGACCCGAAACCCGGUGAUCUAGCCAUGGGCAGGUUGAAGGUUGGGUAACACUAACUGGAGGACCGAACCGACUAAUGUUGAAAAAUUAGCGGAUGACUUGUGGCUGGGGGUGAAAGGCCAAUCAAACCGGGAGAUAGCUGGUUCUCCCCGAAAGCUAUUUAGGUAGCGCCUCGUGAAUUCAUCUCCGGGGGUAGAGCACUGUUUCGGCAAGGGGGUCAUCCCGACUUACCAACCCGAUGCAAACUGCGAAUACCGGAGAAUGUUAUCACGGGAGACACACGGCGGGUGCUAACGUCCGUCGUGAAGAGGGAAACAACCCAGACCGCCAGCUAAGGUCCCAAAGUCAUGGUUAAGUGGGAAACGAUGUGGGAAGGCCCAGACAGCCAGGAUGUUGGCUUAGAAGCAGCCAUCAUUUAAAGAAAGCGUAAUAGCUCACUGGUCGAGUCGGCCUGCGCGGAAGAUGUAACGGGGCUAAACCAUGCACCGAAGCUGCGGCAGCGACACUGUGUGUUGUUGGGUAGGGGAGCGUUCUGUAAGCCUGUGAAGGUGUACUGUGAGGUAUGCUGGAGGUAUCAGAAGUGCGAAUGCUGACAUAAGUAACGAUAAAGCGGGUGAAAAGCCCGCUCGCCGGAAGACCAAGGGUUCCUGUCCAACGUUAAUCGGGGCAGGGUGAGUCGACCCCUAAGGCGAGGCCGAAAGGCGUAGUCGAUGGGAAACAGGUUAAUAUUCCUGUACUUGGUGUUACUGCGAAGGGGGGACGGAGAAGGCUAUGUUGGCCGGGCGACGGUUGUCCCGGUUUAAGCGUGUAGGCUGGUUUUCCAGGCAAAUCCGGAAAAUCAAGGCUGAGGCGUGAUGACGAGGCACUACGGUGCUGAAGCAACAAAUGCCCUGCUUCCAGGAAAAGCCUCUAAGCAUCAGGUAACAUCAAAUCGUACCCCAAACCGACACAGGUGGUCAGGUAGAGAAUACCAAGGCGCUUGAGAGAACUCGGGUGAAGGAACUAGGCAAAAUGGUGCCGUAACUUCGGGAGAAGGCACGCUGAUAUGUAGGUGAAGUCCCUCGCGGAUGGAGCUGAAAUCAGUCGAAGAUACCAGCUGGCUGCAACUGUUUAUUAAAAACACAGCACUGUGCAAACACGAAAGUGGACGUAUACGGUGUGACGCCUGCCCGGUGCCGGAAGGUUAAUUGAUGGGGUCAGCGCAAGCGAAGCUCUUGAUCGAAGCCCCGGUAAACGGCGGCCGUAACUAUAACGGUCCUAAGGUAGCGAAAUUCCUUGUCGGGUAAGUUCCGACCUGCACGAAUGGCGUAAUGAUGGCCAGGCUGUCUCCACCCGAGACUCAGUGAAAUUGAACUCGCUGUGAAGAUGCAGUGUACCCGCGGCAAGACGGAAAGACCCCGUGAACCUUUACUAUAGCUUGACACUGAACAUUGAGCCUUGAUGUGUAGGAUAGGUGGGAGGCUUAGAAGUGUGGACGCCAGUCUGCAUGGAGCCGACCUUGAAAUACCACCCUUUAAUGUUUGAUGUUCUAACGUUGACCCGUGAUCCGGGUUGCGGACAGUGUCUGGUGGGUAGUUUGACUGGGGCGGUCUCCUCCUAAAGAGUAACGGAGGAGCACGAAGGUUGGCUAAUCCUGGUCGGACAUCAGGAGGUUAGUGCAAUGGCAUAAGCCAGCUUGACUGCGAGCGUGACGGCGCGAGCAGGUGCGAAAGCAGGUCAUAGUGAUCCGGUGGUUCUGAAUGGAAGGGCCAUCGCUCAACGGAUAAAAGGUACUCCGGGGAUAACAGGCUGAUACCGCCCAAGAGUUCAUAUCGACGGCGGUGUUUGGCACCUCGAUGUCGGCUCAUCACAUCCUGGGGCUGAAGUAGGUCCCAAGGGUAUGGCUGUUCGCCAUUUAAAGUGGUACGCGAGCUGGGUUUAGAACGUCGUGAGACAGUUCGGUCCCUAUCUGCCGUGGGCGCUGGAGAACUGAGGGGGGCUGCUCCUAGUACGAGAGGACCGGAGUGGACGCAUCACUGGUGUUCGGGUUGUCAUGCCAAUGGCACUGCCCGGUAGCUAAAUGCGGAAGAGAUAAGUGCUGAAAGCAUCUAAGCACGAAACUUGCCCCGAGAUGAGUUCUCCCUGACCCUUUAAGGGUCCUGAAGGAACGUUGAAGACGACGACGUUGAUAGGCCGGGUGUGUAAGCGCAGCGAUGCGUUGAGCUAACCGGUACUAAUGAACCGUGAGGCUUAACCUUACAACGCCGAAGCUGUU
rnacentral:rRNA from 1 species